rnacentral:rRNA from 1 species
GACGAACGCUGGCGGCGUGCUUAACACAUGCAAGUCGAACGGAAAGGCCCUGCUUUUGUGGGGUUCUCGAGUGGCGAACGGGUGAGUAACACGUGAGUAACCUGCCCUUGACUUUGGGAUAACUUCAGGAAACUGGGGCUAAUACCGGAUAUGAGCUCCUGCUGCAUGGUGGGGGUUGGAAAGUUUCGGCGGUUGGGGAUGGACUCGCGGCUUAUCAGCUUGUUGGUGGGGUAGUGGCUUACCAAGGCUUUGACGGGUAGCCGGCCUGAGAGGGUGACCGGCCACAUUGGGACUGAGAUACGGCCCAGACUCCUACGGGAGGCAGCAGUGGGGAAUAUUGAACAAUGGGCGGAAGCCUGAUGCAGCAACGCCGCGUGCGGGAUGACGGCCUUCGGGUUGUAAACCGCUUUCGCCUGUGACGAAGCGUGAGUGACGGUAAUGGGUAAAGAAGCACCGGCUAACUACGUG